rnacentral:rRNA from 1 species
GACGAACGCUGGCGGCGUGCUUAACACAUGCAAGUCGAACGGAAAGGCCCUGCUUUUGUGGGGUGCUCGAGUGGCGAACGGGUGAGUAACACGUGAGUAACCUGCCCUUGACUUUGGGAUAACUUCAGGAAACUGGGGCUAAUACCGGAUAGGAGCUCCUGCUGCAUGGUGGGCGUUGGAAAGUUUCGGCGGUUGGGGAUGGAUUCGCGGCUUACCAGCUUGUUGGUGGGGUAGUGGCUUACCAAGGCUUUGACGGGUAGCCGGCCUGGGAGGGUGACCGGCCACAUUGGGACUGCGAUACGGCCCAGACUCCUACGGGAGGCAGCAGUGGGGAAUAUUGCACAAUGGGAGGAAGCCUGAUGCAGCAACGCCGCGUGCGGGAUGACGGCCUUCGGGUUGUAAACCGCUUUCGCCUGUGACGAAGCGUGAGUGACGGUAAUGGGUAAAGAAGCACCGGCUAACUACGUG